CCUACGGGAGGCAGCAGUGGGGAAUAUUGGACAAUGGGCGAAAGCCUGAUCCAGCAAUGCCGCGUGAGUGAUGAAGGCCUUAGGGUUGUAAAGCUCUUUUACCCGGGAUGAUAAUGACAGUACCGGGAGAAUAAGCUCCGGCUAACUCCGUGCCAGCAGCCGCGGUAAUACGGAGGGAGCUAGCGUUAUUCGGAAUUACUGGGCGUAAAGCGCACGUAGGCGGCUUUGUAAGUAAGAGGUGAAAGCCUGGUGCUCAACACCAGAACUGCCUUUUAGACUGCAUCGCUUGAAUCCAGGAGAGGUGAGUGGAAUUCCGAGUGUAGAGGUGAAAUUCGUAGAUAUUCGGAAGAACACCAGUGGCGAAGGCGGCUCACUGGACUGGUAUUGACGCUGAGGUGCGAAAGCGUGGGGGAGCAACAGAUAGAUACCUGUAGUCACGCCGUAACGAUANAUACUAGNUGCGGGCUCGUUAGAGUCUUCGGUGGUCGGCGAGCUAACGCAUUAAGUUAUCCGUCCUGGGGAGUACGGGCCGCGAAGGUUAAACUUAAAGUUAGAAUUGACGGU
rnacentral:rRNA from 1 species